CUUGGAGACAAGCUAGCACACCUGUAAUGCUAGAAGCUGAACCCAGGAGCACCAGCAGAGGCUGUAGAUUCUGUGAUGUCUCAAACACUCUUCUGUGAUCUUGAUACAGUAACAAAAUUUCUGGUACCCUGAAAAUGGAAAGAAUAAGUUUCAACCAGAGCACACUUUGGAAAAGGAUGACUGACUUUUAGAAGGAAGACCCAAACAAACCGGUCAACAGAAAUGGAGUGCUGCUCUAGUGCCAUGCCCGAGACACCUGCCAAUAGUCCUCUGCCACUCGCCAUCCCUGCAUCAGCAUCUGGGACAUGGUCAUUACACUUGACGCUUGUCACUCCACCUCUCCUCACUCCUCAGCUCACAGAAAAGAGAUUUGUGAAAUACCAGCUCUGGUCUUGUUUGUAAACAUGGAAAGCAGAGUGCGGAGCAUAAAUUACCAGCAGACAACAUCUGGAUUCCAUACUAAGAACAAGCAUCUCACUACAAAG
rnacentral:lncRNA from 1 species